GCACGCCAGACCCCGAUGUAUCAAAUCCGAGGUCAGGCAGUGGUCCUGAAGCUGAGCAAAUGUAUGUGGAAGCAGGCUCAGGCCUAGCGGCACUUCGCCUCCUUCACACAGACCCCCGCCGGACACCGCGCCCUGCCGCGACUCACUUAGCAAGUCUCGCGGAUUAGGUUUGAUCGCAUUCGGCCCUUUCCCGGAUAGCUCGUCGCGGAUACUUCUCACAGCGAAGCAGCAGCUCCCAGAAGCCGUAAAGCUAUCCCAGAGCGAGGCACCAUACGUAAAUCUUCCGCGUCGCUACGUGACGUCAGUGCGAGCGACCCCGGGCCGGCUGCGUGGAGCUGGCGCUGCCUCUCCUGAAGCCGAGGCGCUAACUUGAGUGAAGAGGUCUAUAGGCUUUUUCACUUUUGGUUAUCUGCUCAGGCGCUCCUUGGGGUCGCGCAUGGUCUCGGACAGGGUUUGCAAGGACUUCGGAGCUAACCAGUUUGGAGCCAUAACCCUUUCGUACUUGCCAAAAAACUCUGGGCAAGACUCUUGAAUUUUGAGCCGCAGUAUUCUCGUUCAUAAGGUGCCUGAUGUCCUCCAUUACAGAGACCCCGUUUUACUCCUGAGCAAUAAAAAAAGGCUUCAGAAUAAGGCGGGGGCCGGGGGUGGCAUAAAGGAUAUAACACUCUCCUAAAUGAACUUCCAGUCCUUUUAGGUACCCUCUUCACUUCUACUUCCUGAAGCCAGUUUCUUAGUUUUUUAGGGGGUUCUGUGAUACAAAUAGAAUUGCUUGUUGGUUUUGCUCACUGGGGGUUUAGAAUUCAGGUUUUUCAAGUCAACUGAGCCCUUUGCUAUUGAUUCCAGAAUUUCAUUUCCAUUAUUCCUUUUCUUUAAUCCUUAAGGGUGUAUGACUUUAAAAAUCCUGUUACUGUCAUUUUCAGGGAGUCUUAGGGAGCAAAUGUAGAACACUAUGUUUAAGACAGCAUUUUUACCUGAUAAUCCAAGGUGAUCAUUCUAAAACAUAUACCAGAUCAGUCAUAGCAUUCUUCUAUGAGAAUAAGAAGCUUCAAUGAUCCCUCGUUGCCUGCAUAACAUUCAGACUCUUCAGCAAGGUAAACAAGAGAGUUCAUUUUCUUUCCAACCUGAUAUCUCACAGCAGGCCACUGCUCCCCCACCCAUCUUCCACAUUCCCCACACCUGAUACUGUAAACUCUAGUCAUAAUGAAAGGCUAGUAAGAGUUCUGAGAAUACAAAGUCCUUAUCAUGUUUCCACACCUGUUUUGGCUGGGCUCAGGCUGAAAUACCCUUCUUUCUCCAUGCCUGCUUGAUGAAAAUACAGCUUAAACAUGACUUCCUCAGUGAUGCCUUUCUUCAAGCCCUAAAGAAUAAUUUAUCCAGACUCCUCCAAACUCCAUCCCACGAACCCAUCAUACUCUUGGGAGGGGUCAUUUGUCAUGGGACCUGCAAAUUCUGGGUUUGCCAAGAAUGUAAGGUCCUAACUGCUCUUUACCUAGAUCAUUUUUCAGGGUUGUUUGGGAUGAUCAGUUUCAUAGCUGAAGUAUUCUUCCCAAAGAGUAGGCUUGCUUCCACUUAACUACAAAAGUAUGGAAUCCCCCAAACUCAGUAUUCCUCUCCUAUAAUGUAACCCACUGACUGCAUGUGCAGACAUCCAUGGAAGCCCAUCUUCACCAUCCUGGUGGGACUUGGGGGACAUGGAAAAUGCAUAAACAUGAAGUUCUGGCUUCUGCUUUUGCCAUAAAUUACAAAGUUCUUUGUCACCCAGGAAUCCAAGUUUACUGCCAUAAAACAGUUAACAGGCUAUCUUACUAACUUUAAAAUAGGUUUCAAUACCAGACCCUUCCCAGACAGCGACAUAUAUUUCUUACAGCAUCAGUUGUUACUGUUGCUGCAUUAUUUCCAAAUCUGACCUCCUAUACUAAAUAGCACCCUUAUAGCAGGGAUUCAUGUCUUAGGCGCUUGUUUCCCAAACUAUUUUUUUUUUUACUCAGCUCCAUCCACUUACACUGUUCCAGUUGCAGGGAAAUAUCAAAUGCCCACCCUGUACCCUGCUGAUAUUUUGUACCUUGACUGGCACACUCUACUUAUUUUAAGGCUUAUCUCUCAGUUGUCAAUGUCAUUGUUUCCUUAAAAAGUUCAAAAAUAAUUUGGAAAAUCCUUGACCCUACCUGAAACAAGGUUAGGUCCUCCUGUUAUGUGCUGUUGUACCACAUAUCACAGUUGGGAUAAUAAGGCAUUGUGUGAGUUACUCUAAGUGUUCAGCUGCUCAGGAGAAGGCAGAGAGCAAAUUAGUGGUUGAGUUUUUCAGGCUUGGUGUUUUGACAGGUGUAUUAGUCUGUUCUCACAUUGCUUUAAGUAAAUAUCUGAGACUGGGUAAUUUAUAAAGAAAAGAGGUUUAAUUGACUCGGUUCCACAUGGCUGGGGAGCCCUCAGGAAACUUAAAAUCAUGGUGGAAGGCACCUCUUCACAGGGCACGAGGAAAGAAUAUGUAACUAUGGAAGUACACUGGAAGGCCAGGAGUGGUGGUGGCUCACACCUGUAAUCCCAGCACUUUGGGAGGCCGAGGCAGGUGGAUCACGAGGUCAAGAAAUCAAGACCAUCCUGGCCAAUACAGUGAAACCGUCUCUUUGAAAAAUAUAAAAAUUAAUUUGGCAUGGUGACACACGCCUGUAGUCCCAGCUACUCUGGAGGCUGAGGCAGGAGAAUCACUUGAACCCAGGAGGUGGAGGUUGCAGUGAACCGAGAUUGCGCCACUGCACUCCAGCCUGGUGACGAAGUGAGACUCCAUCUCAAAAAAUAAAUAAAUAAAUAAAAAUAAACCUCACUGUUUGUUUUAACAAUAACAAGCGUGGUAAGGGUGGUGUCAGUCCAUAAGUUAGAUAGGCAGUUGCUAGGCAGAUGUCGUUGCAGAAGUAUGUGUGUGUGUGUGUGUGUUGUGUUUAAGGUUGUGGUGGCCUUUGUGCAGGUUGUAAAUUUUUGUAGUCUUUUGAUAGUUCUUGUUAUCAACCAUAUGUACAUGAGAACCCUUCCCCUUCAUGGCGUUUCCUGGCUCCGUUUGCCAGGGUUUUAAUACGAGUGACUCCAUUUUGAAUCUGACAACUUUCACAUUUCCCCUUUUGAUCAAGGUCUUUCUCAAAAGCAUCACUGAUCAAUCAUCCUGUAUUUAGGUUUUGAUAUCUCUUGGUGCCAGUCUGCCCUCAUGUUGAAGGGAGUCACUGGUAACUAGGAAUUAGCAUCAAAACCCUUUAGCCACAUUUGAACAACAAAAGAGGUUUGGAGGGAGUGGAUCUCAGGCUAAGUCUACCUGGAGUCCACUGUUAAGUUCAAUUCUGUCUGUUCCAUAGGCACUGUCUAUCAUCUCAAAGUGCUGGGAGAGCAUUAUUCUCUUAGGAGUUGCAUUUCUAUGCAAAUUUGACAAGAAACAGGUAUAAAGUUCUUAAAAAAAAAAAAAAGAAAAUACAAAGUAACAAUCUCAGCAUAAUAGUUUUCAGCCGUGAACCUAGGCUUAAAGACAACCAGUUGAAUAAAUCAAAUGAUCAUGAAGAAUUAGGUGAGACUUAUUAUACCAUGUGGGCUAUUUUCUUAUUUUGUGUAUAUAAAUUCCCCAAAGGAAUGUAUCCAGGUACAGCAUGUAGUAUGAGCAAAAGCACAGACAUCUCUUUGUUUAGCUGGUACACAGCAAUCCUAUUACUUAGCAUUCCAUGACUGGCUUGAAUUAAAGCAGAGAGAGCUAACUCUGUUUUAAAAAAGACCAUUAGUACAAUUUGAACAAAAAGUUUACUGAGGAUGUUGCCAGUAUUACCCCCUGGGUGGACUAAAGGAUUUAUGAAGUCAGAUUCUGUCAAGUCACCCACAAUAUCUACCGAUUGUGAAAUUAUCCUGCCAAAUCAAAGAGGUAGGCAUAAACAAGGAAGAAUUAAGAGGGGCAAGAGUGUCAUUAGGAUGGGGAGUUAUGUUCCAUCAUCUUGGGAAAAGCUGCCCACAGUAUGGAGAUGUUAGCUUUUCAUUCUGGUUUACAGUUUUAAUGUCUCUGGUUAUAGCAUUGGGCAGUUUUGUGAACCUUUGGGCAUGAGAUUUCUCCCUUAAAAUUCAGUUAAGUUUGAGCUUGGGCUUUAAGAACAUAGCAAGUCUCGUUUUUAGUAAUUCUAUGGAAGAAAGUUGGAUUGGAGGAACCUAGAAGAAUUAAAGAUCCAGUCCAGCGACCAAGGUUUACCUAGUUGCACAGAAAUUUUCUUAACACUGGCAGGUGCCCUACUAGUAAUCUUUCUUGUCUGUGACCAGUUUAUCCUUAACAUGGGAGACUUUUUCUUUGGAUACCUUCAAUAUUUUCAGAGUGGUAUUUUCAGAGUGGUGCCUUUCACUUAGUUAAUAUGCAUUUAUGUUCCUUCUGUCAUUUAAUGGCUUGAUUGCUCAUUUCUUUUAAGCACUGAAUAAUAUUCUAUUGUCUGAAUGUACUACAGUUUAUCUAUUCAUUUACCUACCCACCCUGACACUUUGAAUCUAAUCCUGCUCUUCCAUGACACUCCCUCUUUCCCCAUAGUGCUUCCUAGGAACUUGCCACGAUGUAGUGCUUACUUAGUACUGCUUUUCUAAUUACUUAAUUUGUCCCUCAUAGUCAACCAGCAGUUUUGCCUGGUUCAUAAGAGAUGGCCUAUUUAUUGAAAUGCCUGGAUCAGAGAAAUAAGAUAUGACUAGCUGGUGCCAAGAAUGGAGCCUGGAAGUUGUCUCCAUGCUGUUUACCAUAAAGCACUAACUAAAGUCACUAUUUAAAAAAAAAAAAAAAAGGACACACAUAUUUAAACAUACUUAUUACACAUAUUUAUCAACAAGGCAUCACAAAUAAGUCACAAAAAGUAGGCUUAGUUUAGUUCACAAUAUAAAUCCCGUGAAAACAC
rnacentral:lncRNA from 10 species